rnacentral:lncRNA from 1 species
GUGGACCAUUCAUCUCUGGCUACUGUCAAGGACUGUGCUAGAAGGACCCUUGAUCCCCUUGUGAGUAAUCAGUGUAAUUAACCCUCUGUGGCAGGACUAGUGCAAGGCAGCAAACUGCACGAGGGUGGAGCUUUUUAUGAAGUGAUUAUUUAGUUCUUUUAAACAUUCACAAGUGCUACUUAGCUGUAAGUAAAUUAUAUUUGAUGUCCUCAUGCUAUACAUGUGCAGUGGAAUUGCCAGGCUAAAACCUGAAGCAAUGAUUGAGCACCAGGUGAAAAAGUGUGGCUAACCCAGGCUGCUCAGGAGCAAGCCAUGCAUCUGAGUGACUGGAAGAGUACUUCUCUGAGUAGAGACUGUAUUCCUCUCAAGCUGUUGCUGGUUGUGAGAAGGGUUCGUCAGGAAGGAUGCUGUCCCAUCCAAAGAACUCCAAAACAGAAAUGAGAGAGAGGCACAAGAGAAAGUAGACAAAGAACUAAGACAGAAAUUUGGUAUUGUGAAAGAUAUAAGAAUACAUCUCAAGAGGAUAAAUCCCAGUGAACUUAAAGAAGAUUUU